rnacentral:piRNA from 1 species
UGAUCAGUCCUCUGAAGACUCUCUGGUACAGC